GUCACUUCAAAGGGAAGGGCUGGCGGCGGAGAGGUGGUUUGGGGACCGAGCGGGACAGGGGCGUCCCACUGCCCGAUCCCACCCCGGCGCUUUGCAUAAAUAAAUAAAUCAUGCGGCAAGGGAGAGGUGGAGAGAGAGGGCGAGCAGAGGAGGUUACUUUGGGAAGCCGCGCAGCUCGCUCAUCCCAGCCCCGUAGUUCGGAGGGAGUGUGUCAUGUUACAGGGGAGCCGCGAUCAGCCAGAGCACAGCGUCGCCGGAGCAGCUGAGAAUUACCUCUCUCUAAUGGGGACUUUCAUGUGCGAGCUCCCGGCCAGUCUGCGAAGGAACUGAAACUGACAGCUUAGAAAGAAUCAAAAACUUACCAGCGAACCAAAAGACUGAAAUACAGGAGGAAAAAAAAUAAUAUCUCGAUCAGAUUAUUUUUUCCCCCUUCGCACUCUUUGCUGCAGUUGGAUCCCUUUUUUCUGCACCCCUUUUAUGUGUGUGUGGUUUGUUUUUAUUUUUUAAAGACACCCCCCCUCCAUCCACUUUUGUCAUUAUUGCUGUCACUUGUGAUUUGCUGGCGCUGGGAUUCCCUCCGACGUUCUUUUUCUUUUAUGCCUUCUGGAUUGCGCGUCUUGGAGUAGGAGCGAAGCUGUAUUUAUUCUAUUUAUUUAUUUAUUGUUUCUCAGGACAGGGAGGGAAUGUUGGAGGAGAAGAGCUGGAAAGGCGUCGACGAAGCAGCUUUUGACAGGGGGUGUGUGGCUCCCCCCCGGAGCGGCGAUGGGGAGCGGUGCUGCCGCCUCCCUCUGCUGCUGGGCUCGGGGCUGCCCGGCGUGUCCCUGCUCUCUCUGGUGCUCAGCCUCCUGCUGUACUUUCGCACCUCCGAGCUGCAGUCCCGCGUGUCCCACUUGGAAGCUGACAGACCCACACAGCUCCCUGCCUGGCUCUCGGCAGACCAAAUGGAGACGGCUAUUUUGGGAAGAGUUGACCAACUGCUCAAUGAGAAGUUAAAGUUCCACUUGCCAAGACAUCGAGAAGUUCGGGACACACACCAGCGAUGCAACUGCCCAGCAGGUCCACCUGGGGACAAAGGUGCGAUGGGAAUCCCUGGGCGGCCGGGACUAAAGGGGCAAUCUGGAGAGAAGGGUGCUCCAGGAGAAGCUGGCAUGUCCAUCAUUGGGCCCCGUGGCCCACCCGGACAGCCUGGAACAAGAGGUUUUCCUGGAUUCCCGGGCCCUAUUGGCUUGGAUGGCAAACCGGGGCAUCCUGGACAGAAGGGAGAGAUGGGUGCUGCAGGUCCCAGGGGACAGCCUGGGCCCCCAGGACAAAAAGGAGAGAAGGGUCAGUGUGCAGAGUACCCGCACAGGCUGCUGCCUCUCCUCAAUUCAGUGCGGCUGGCUCCACCUCCGGUCAUAAAGAGACGCACUUUCCAGGGUGAACAGGGACAGGCAGGGAUCCAAGGGCCCCCGGGGCCCCCUGGCCCACCAGGGCCCCCUGGACCAGCUGGACCUGAAGGAAUCCCAGGACGUCCUGGGCCAGUUGGACCCGCUGGCAGAGCAGGAGAACCUGGGAAGCCUGGCAGAGAUGGAAAGGGCUUACCUGGGCCUCCUGGACCAAAGGGAGAUGCUGGCAUUCAGGGAUACCCUGGCAGAAAGGGUGAGGUGGGUGAGGCAGGCCUGCCCGGUGCCCGUGGCCUUCCUGGAGCCUCUGGCCCCAAGGGUGAAAAAGGGGAUGCUGGCAUCAAGGGCGCUCCGGGGCUGGCGGCCGCAGGGAUGAAGGGCGAGCCUGGGACUCCAGGAGAAAAGGGAGAUUCUGGAGUGCCAGGCAGGAUGGGCCCCCCAGGUGUGCCAGGGAAGAGGGGGCAGCGGGGUGAGAAGGGACGAGCUGGUGACCCUGGAAUUCCUGGACUUCCUGGCCCAAAGGGAGAGAAGGGAAUUGCUGAGAAUGCCUUGGUGGGAGCUAAAGGAGAACCUGGCCCUCCAGGUCUGCCUGGACCCCCUGGACCAAAGGGAGAAGCUGGUGACGUUGGUCAGCCUGGUGCUGCAGGAUCACAGGGAGAAAAGGGGGAACGUGGCUCACCAGGAGACCAGGGACCCAUGGGCCCAAGGGGCCCCAAAGGAGAACCUGGGAAGGAUGAAAUGAUGGACUAUGAUGGGAACAUCAGUGAAGCUCUGCAGGAAAUACGAACUUUGGCCUUGAUGGGACCCCCAGGACGUCCAGGUGUGGCUGGGCCUCCAGGGCCACCAGGACAGAAGGGUGAAAUUGGCUUGCCAGGUCCUCCAGGCCACGAUGGAGAAAAGGGCCCACGUGGCAAGCCUGGAGAAAUGGGUCCCCCUGGGCCUCAGGGGCUGCCAGGGAAGGAUGGAGCUCCUGGCAUGAAGGGAGAGCCAGGCCCUGCUGGGGGCAGAGGAGAGAAGGGUGACAGGGGAGAGCCAGGAGAAGCAGGCCCACCGGGUCUAGAUGGCCCCACUGGAGAGAAGGGAGAACAAGGUGACCAAGGGAUGCCAGGACCAUCAGGAUUGCCAGGGCCCAUUGGACUUCCAGGACUGACAGUAUCUGGGCCCCCUGGCCCCCAGGGCCCUCCAGGACCUCCAGGUCUUCAGGGUGUCCCAGGACCCAAGGGGGAAGCAGGGAUUGAUGGAGUGAAAGGAGAGAAGGGUGCCCAGGGUGAAAAAGGAGACCGAGGGCCGCUGGGAUUACCCGGUGCUUCAGGUUUAGACGGCAGGCCUGGACCAGCGGGUAUUCCAGGACCAAUUGGGGCUUCGGGACCAGCAGGACCAAAAGGAGAGAGGGGCAGUAAAGGAGACCCUGGAGUUGCAGGACCAAUGGGGCCAGCAGGGCUUCCUGGUUUACAAGGUCUACCUGGUGACAAGGGAGUCCGGGGUCUGCGAGGUUUUAAAGGCGAGAAGGGUGAGCCGGGGUUACCUGGGCUGGACGGCCUGGAUGCCCCAUGCCCAUUGGUAUGGUGUACCUUCCCUUUCCUGCAUGCUCGUUUGCUUUUGGCCUCUUGCUGCUAUUUCUGAUCCUCCCAAACAGCUGCAUGCCCUGGAAACACUGGCAGUUCCUUCCUUACCUGCCUCCAGACUCCCUCCCUCUCAUUGCUGCUGUCAGAACCAGGCCCUUCCCUUCAUUGCUGUCAGCAGCACUUUGUGGCAUGAGGAAAAUAGAGUUGGAAUGUGGUUUUAUUUACAACAGCUUCACUUCUUCCUUUGCCUUCCUUUGACAAUUUCCAGUAAACCAGUGUAUGCAGGCCCAGCUCUGUGCUGGCUUGGCUUCCUCAUAAGGAGCUGCAGUGCUUGUGUCCUUCAUUAACUCUGUUUUUAAUUGCUUGUGUGUGUUGAGCACAGCCUGACAUGGUUCUGGAUGACCUCAGUCACCCCAUACAUGAAGGUGACUGAAAAGAAUAGUUAUCCCAUUAGCAAGCCCAUGUGACACACAUUAAUAGGGACACUUAACUUCCCUGCUGGACCAUUCCUAUUUAUGACUCUCCCCAAAUGUCUAAAUUGUACCCACAGCAUCCAAAAACCUUGAAUUUAGAAUUGCCUGUUUCCCAAUAUCCAUCUUAUUCAAGUAAUAAAAUGAUUAUUGUAUUAGUGCCUGAUCUAGCCCAACUGUUGUAGGACAAAAGUAUUCAGAAACACUUAACCCCAAGUGAUUUCUUAGUAUCCCAAUAAAUUUAUUCAUUUUCUCUGAGUUUUCUGGAGAUGCAGCAUUCAGGUGACGUUUUUGCUCUCUGAGAGAGUUUCAGCAUCUCCAUAAUACAAAGAAACUUCUACUCCCCUGCCCAUCCAGCCCUGUUUGGCAUGACAAGGUUUGCUAGAGGAUGGUCUUUCCAAGCCUUAUGCUCACUUAAGGAGGUUUGAAGCCAUCUGCAAGGGAUGGGACUUGUUAGUUCAACUAGCUGGGAAAAUGCAUCCCAAAGCAAAAAGCCACAUUUAGUUUAAAAGAUUUUCCUAGUUUCUUGAGGGAAAAAAAAAAAAAAAAGCACCAUGAAAUUGCCAUUAAAAGCCUUUGUUAUUUGAGCUUUGUGAAGAGCUAAUAUAAUUUUCCUUCCAGUGUUCCCUCCUUUGAGUGCUGUCCUUGCCUCUCUGGGACAGUGACCACUCACAGUCUCAGUUGCUGCCCUGUAAAUUCUGGAUAGUUGAAGCUUGUGCCAGUGCCUCAGGUGAAACCAUCCCUGCCCAGAACGGUGCUCCAAGGAGGAAGACCACAGAGCCAUGUGUUUUGUGUCCCAGUGAUCACAGCCAGGCUUCUGUGGAGUAGAAGCUUCUGGCUAAGGCACCUAAUUUCACAGGUGCAAGAACUCUACCAGUGCCCUAGCAGGUGACAUUUCUGGUUUUGUCACUGCUCCCCAUGAGGAUUCACCCCACAUGGCCAUAUUAGAGCUCACACUUGCUUUCAUACCUAUUUUCAUUAAGGGAAACUUGCCAGAAAAUCUGAUGAAGUGUGGAUGCUGUUAUUUUUUAUACACGGUGUGCUGGCAUGCAAGCUUGGGAACGUGAAUAAGCAUGUUUUUUGAUCCAACUAGGUUAAAAGCUUGGCAUCCAGCUGACACAUCCAUGUGUGUAGCUCAUGGAGGCUGUGAACUAAUUCUUGGCACGUGUGAGAUGUGUGCAAGGAGAUCCUUGGUACUAACAAGCACCUCAUGUUUCCGUUCUCGGCACAUUGGCCCGCAACAAACACUUCCUUGUGACCCUGGUGUUCCUUUGAUCCCUGAGCUGUGGCUCCCUGGCCUCCCAUUCCUUCAUACACCUAACUGCCAUCUCCUCCUGCCAUGCACUGUACCAGCCAUUCCUGUCACCACCAGUGUACCAAUGGGAGCACCACCAUUUACCCAGUAAAUAACUUGGAAUUCUGUAUUUCCACAUAGUUGGGGCAAAGGGAGGAAACAGCACAAGGAGACCAAAGUCCAAAAAAUGCAUUUGAAAAGCAAUAUUGUUAUAACAUCAUGGCAGUGUUCAGUACAUCAGCCCCCUGGAAGUGCAUCUCCAGCAAAUAGUUCAUUUCUCAAUAUAUUACUGUGCAUUUGCUUUUCUGUUUGUAUUUUUUUGGGUUUCCUGGGGAAAAGUGAUAGACCAUGAAUCUGCCAUGUGCAUACAGCACAAGAAUUUGACUUCUUGUGUUAGACACGUAUUUCCUUUCACCUGACUCUGUCUGCUGCUCCAGAGCACCUUAGCACUGGUGUCAUACCCAGCCCAUCAAAGAGGGCUGCACAGGGUUGAAAUGAUGGCAGUAAUCUACAAAAGCAUUUCCCAACCAUGGAGCCCGAGACAUCAAGGGUGCAAAAGUGCCAGGGGAUUUCCACAGAAAUCCCACUGAUGUUUUUGAAGCCAAAGUCCCUUUUCAGGGAAUCAGCUGGGACAUCCUGAACCAGCAGAGGGGCUGCCCUGAUUUCCCUGGAGCAGGAUCUGCCCAGAGGCAAGAGGGGAUAAUUGGGCAGUGUCUCACAUGACAAAGCAAACCCUUUAACAGGACAGGAAGGAAAUGGAGAUUUUUUUCUAGACCCUCCUCAGUGUCUGAGGUUAGUGCUGACUCUGAGACUGGCUUUUAAGCUCAGUGUUGCAGAGCCAAGCCUGAGGACACAGAGCAGCCACCUCUCACUUUGCUGUUUAUCUGGCUGAGUUGGACCUCCUGUGUUCAUUCUCUUCUUCCUUCAAGGAAGCCUGGCUGGACUCCUUUCUUAGGGGAGGGUGGUUCUGAGGUACCCAAGUCCCUUGCACAGCCUGCAGGCAUUUCCCCUCUUCACCCCAGCCCCUGCUUCAGGCUGCACUGCUUGUGCCAGCCAGCAGUCUGGGUCAUCUGAAGGAUGAGGAAUAUCUCUGACUAUUCCUCCAGCCCAGGUUCAAACUGUUUGUUGCAGUAACAGUUAACACAUGCUGUCCUUUCUCCAUCUCUGUGCUACUUUCUGUGUCCUAAACUGCUAUUUCAUCCAUCUUUUCCACAGGGAGAAGAUGGCCUUCCAGUUCAAGGCUGCUGGAAUAAGUGAUGAUUCUAACCCUGGACUGACCUGUGUGUGUUACUGUACAUAGAAUAUUUAUUUUUAUACGGUGUUCUUCUCUGAAAUGCCAAAAGUUAUGCAUUUUUACAAAUUAUCAAAAAGUGGCAUAUUUUUUUGUACAGAAAAUACUAGAUCUCCCUUUUUCCCCAUUUGUCAGUUCUCUGUAUGAUUCUAUGUCUGCAUUACGCUUGUUUUGUCAUGGAGUACAGCUGUAAUAUUUACAUGAUAUUUGUGCACACAUGAUGAAUAUAGGAACUUUAAUAAAUUAUUGCAUUUAAAGUGCCCAAA